GGCGAGAAGCCGAGGAGCGAGGGUGCGGGAAGGAAGGGAAAAGGAACGGGAGAAGGGAACGGAAGUGAGUGACGGCAGGAGGGGACGUGAGGACGGGAGAAAGGAGGCGAAGGGAGGAGAGGUGGCGAUGGGGUGAAAGAGGAGGAGGUGAGGAGCAAGAGAGGCACUGAGGGUGUGCGCGUGGAGGUGAUGCGGGAGGAGAAGAGGAGGAAGGAGAGGAGUUCGGAGGAGAGGAAGGAAAGAAGGGAAAAGAAGAUUGGAGAGAAGAGAACCGGAUCCGCCAUGCCUGUCACAGGACACACACACCUUCCACGCAACCCUCCUGUCACCACAGUCGAGCCACCUCCCGGCCGUCUGGCUCAGUGCACUUCUGUGUAUCGAGUGCCACAUCUGUGCUCGGUGCUGGUAGGAACCACCCUGAGGGCACUUCCCCCUGGAGCCAGCGGAUCCGUCUAUUUUCAUAAACCUGGACUGCCUCGCAGUGCAGUGCACAGGGCAGGAGGUAUUUGGGGGCGUCUGACGGGAAGAACAGAGAUGGCCAGUGUCACACAGCCGCAAAUGUGUGUAAGAAGACAGAUAUUCUGGCCCCAGGGCACCUUCCACUCCAUCCCACUGCCACUGACAUCACACCACCUGGUGAUGUCCCCAAGCACGUCCUUUCACACUGCCCACCUCCCCCGAGGGGAGCCGUGGUGCUGCCAGG
rnacentral:lncRNA from 1 species